rnacentral:lncRNA from 1 species
UCAUAUCUUCAGCUCCCCUUAUGAAAUGAAUGGAUAGUUGAGAGUCCUUUUUUCCUAGGACUUCCAAGUGUACAAGAUGACUGCAAUAAUUGGGCCAUAUGUAUUUAGAUGCUAAUUUUCACGUGAAUAUCUUUGGAUUCACAACUUAAAUUAAUUUAUUUUCUUUGAUUUUCAAUUUGAUUUGAAAGAGCGCAAAGCUGAUACGUAUUUCUGCAGCAGAGAGGAUAUUAAAAUCAGGUCAUGUGUACACACUGCACUGGAAGGGACCUUUUGUAACCUGAUAUAAACAGGCAAGAUGACUGUACUACAUUUUGCUCUGCCAAUGGCAAGAACAAAGUUUUUCAAUUCUAGAACUUGGAUUUUUUAACAUAAGUCCCCAAAACACCAAAAAUGUAAACAAGUUGUUUUAAGGAGAUAUGGAGUAAAUAUGUGUUUGUGGCUAGAAGAAACUCAACCAACCAAAUUUUUGAAAACUUGUAUCAUGCAUGGCCCUCUGUAAAAUAUACACCAGAAAAAGGGGUGGUGUUAAUAUAAGAGAACAAAUAACAGAGAAGGAGAAAAACAAAGGAUCUUAGGUUAAUCGAUCUCUGAAAAUCUGAAAGUGAUUUUGUCACUAUUAUAAAUCAACAUACAGGAUUUCUUUAAUCACUGGUUAAAAACCAUAUGUCAAAACCAUGAUUAAAAGGUAA